rnacentral:lncRNA from 1 species
GGGUGCUAUUGUGAUCAAAUCUCAUAAUGAAGAAUAGUGAAAAAAAUUUAAAGUUAUUUUGAUCAUGAAUGUAUUUAGAUUAAUUCUAAAGUAAUUUAUGGUUAAUUAUAAUUUUAGCAAAAUAAAUUUAGAUAUGAAAAUUAAAUUUUAUGAUUUGAAUUGUAUGAUUGCAUAUGAUGUAGAAAUAUAAAUUUUUAUGAUACAUAUGAUGUAUACAUGAAAUUAA